rnacentral:rRNA from 1 species
GUGCAGCAGGCGCGAAACCUUCGCAAUGCGGGAAACCGCGACGAGGGGACUCCCAGUGCCUACGCUCAGCGUAGGCUGUUCCCGAGCCUAGAAAGCUCGGGGAGUAAGGGCUGGGUAAGACGGGUGCCAGCCGCCGCGGUAAUACCCGCAGCCCGAGUGGUGGCCACUAUUAUUGGGCCUAAAGCGUCCGUAGCCGGCCCGGUAAAUGCCUGGGUAAAUCGUGAGGCCUAACCUCACGAAUUCCGGGUAGACUGCCGGGCUAGGGACCGGAGGAGGGAGAGGGGUACUCCAGGGGUAGGGGUGAAAUCCUGUAAUCCCUGGAGGACCACCGGUGGCGAAGGCGCUCUCCUAGGACGGGUCCGACGGUGAGGGACGAAAGCCAGGGGAGCGAACCGGAUUA